rnacentral:rRNA from 1 species
GAUUAACGCUGGCGGCGUGCCUAACACAUGCAAGUCGAACGGGGGUAGCAAUACUCCAGUGGCAGACGGGUGAGUAACACGUGACCAACCUACCGCGGAGUGGGGGAUAACUAGUCGAAAGAUUAGCUAAUACCGCAUGACACGUAGCGAGGCAUCUCGCAACGUUGAAAGGAGCAAUCCGCUCGGUGACGGGGUCGCGUCCGAUUAGCUAGUUGGUGGGGUAACGGCCUACCAAGGCACCGAUCGGUAGCUGGUUUGAGAGAGCGACCAGCCACAC